rnacentral:rRNA from 1 species
AAAGGGUGCGUAGGCGGAUUCUUAAGUCAGGGGUGAAAUCCCGAGGCUCAACCUCGGAACUGCCUUUGAUACUGGGGAUCUUGAGUCCGGAAGAGGUGAGUGGAACUGCGAGUGUAGAGGUGAAAUUCGUAGAUAUUCGCAAGAACACCGGUGGCGAAGGCGGCUCACUGGUCCGGAACUGACGCUGAGGCACGACAGCGUGGGGAGCAAACAGGAUUAGAUACCCCAGU